UACGUAGGGUCCGAGCGUUGUCCGGAAUUACUGGGCGUAAAGAGCUCGUAGGUGGUUUGUCGCGUUGUUCGUGAAAACUCACAGCUUAACUGUGGGCGUGCGGGCGAUACGGGCAGACUUGAGUACUGCAGGGGAGACUGGAAUUCCUGGUGUAGCGGUGGAAUGCGCAGAUAUCAGGAGGAACACCGGUGGCGAAGGCGGGUCUCUGGACAGUUCCUGACGCUGAGGCACGAAAGCCUGGGGAGCAAACGGG
rnacentral:rRNA from 1 species